rnacentral:lncRNA from 1 species
GACUCAUCAAGGCAGCAACAGAAAAUGGACACAGCCGUGUUUCAUCAGCUACAUGCUAUAGCUUGUUACUGACCACCUGCAGUGGAGCUGCCACCAAAAUGCAGAUUUUUGUGAAAACCCUCACAGGGAAGACCAUCACCCUCAAGGUUGAACCCUCAGAUACGAUAGAAAAUAUAAAGGCCAAGACCCAGGAUAAGGAAAGAAUUCCUCCUGAUCAGUAAAGACUGAUCUUUGCUAGCAAGCAACUGGAGGAUGGAUGUGCUUUGUCUGACUACAACAUUCAAAAGGAGUCUACUCUUCAUCUUGUGUUGAGACUUCGUGGUGGUGCUAAGAAAAGGAAGAAGUCUUACACCACUCCCAAGAAGAAUAAGCACAAGAGGAAGAAGAUUAAGCUGGCUGUCCUGAAAUACUAUAAGGUAGACGAGAAUGGCAAAAUUAGUCACCUUCAUCGAGAGUGCCCUUCUGAUGAAUGUGGUGCUGGAGUGUUUAUGGCAAGCCACUAUGACAGACAUUAUUGUGGCAAAUGUUGUCUGACUUACUGCUUCAACAAACCAGAAGACAAGGAACUGUAUGAGUUAAUAAAAGACAUGAACUAACAAACAAAACAAAACAAACAAACAAACAAAAUCAUUUCCUUUUGCGUUUCCUCCUGCCUCAGCC